UACAGAGGUCUCAAGCGUUGUUCGGAAUCACUGGGCGUAAAGGGUGCGUAGGUGGCGCCGUAAGUCAGGUGUGAAAUCUCGGGGCUCAACCCCGAAACUGCACUUGAUACUGCGAUGCUCGAGUACUGGAGAGGAGAUUGGAAUUUACGGUGUAGCAGUGAAAUGCGUAGAUAUCGUAAGGAAGACCAGUGGCGAAGGCGAAUCUCUGGACAGUUACUGACACUGAGGCACGAAGGCCAGGGGAGCAAACGGG
rnacentral:rRNA from 1 species